AACAAAAUGUUCACCCACUUAGUCUGGAUCAACGGAAGCACACUUCCAGGAUUAAGCCUGACAUCACACGCCGGAU